GUCUAUGGCCACACCACCCUGAAUGUGCCCGAUUUCAUAUGAUCUCAGAAGCUAAAGUAUAAUUGGACUUGCUUAGUUCUUGGAUGGGAGAAGGAAAGAAAGCAGAAAACU
rnacentral:rRNA from 1 species